GCUUUCUAGCAUUCUGUAGUUCUUUCACAGGACUUAUCAUCUCCUUCCCGGUAUCGUGGUUAUUUGUGUACUAGCCUUAUCUCCUGCACCACAGCGUAAGCUCCUCGGGGGAGGGGACCGCGGGCCCGGGUUCCCCUUUGAAUCCCUCUGGCGCGGACCGACCAGGGCGCCUGCACGCACUCAGCGCGCAGGCUGGUUCAACCGAACUCGGGAACGCUCCGACCGCACAAUUCCUAACCAGAAAUCGGUUAGGCAUUUUCCCGAACUGAAGAACGCAGAGAUGCUAUCCGCCUCCUGAUAACAGGAAGUUUACCAGGGACCAGAAGCGAGGUGGCCGGAGCCCUUGUGCAGUGGGAGUGACAGUUACCCGGGCCCGCACUCCCCUGUCCUCCCGGCUCCGGCCGCAGACGCCCCCACGCCGCCAGCCCCGCCACAGAACCGCGGAAAGCUGGCAGGAGAGCACGGGGCCUCCGGAGACCCGGCCGCAGGCCCGUGGGCGCCGCGCCGGCGAGGACGAGAGGGACAAAAUUGGAAGCACUGGUUAUGAACCCAAGGCUUUGCCUGGAAUAUCAUAUUUGAGAAUGAUGUUCAUUUGAUCAGAAAUGACCUGACACUUUUAAGGAACUAAGGUUGAUUUUAUGGAGCCAAUGGUUACAAAGCCUUCUUGGGAAAACUGACCUGGUACUUGUUCACCGAGUUCCCAGCCUUACAACAUUACCAAGAACUAAAACCUGGCUACCUGGAUCCCUAUCAGCACUUCAGGUUGCCUUGCUGCUGGCCUUUCCCCCCAGAAUCUGAAGAAGCUCUGCAAGCUGUAGCCUAGUGACCUGGCAGCAACCUUUAAGGACCCAGCUCCACAGCAGACCAUGCACAGGCUGGAAUUCUCCCUGGACAAGCUGUUGCUGGACCACUAAGGAAGUCCAACAAAAUACUUGGACCACAGGUGCCCGUGAAUGAAAGGUAGCCAAGACUACGCACAACAUCACCAAGAGUAUGGCCAUCUUAGCUUUGAGAAACUCAAGGAGUGGUGCUGCAAGAUUUUCUUCCUCUAGAAUCCCCUGGACUGGUGAAUUCUCAAGGUUCAAUGCCUGGCUCUUUACCUUAAUACAAUUCUUAUACUAUUAUGUCUCUAUUUUAGGCAUCCCUCUUUUAAGAUAUCUGAUCUCCAGGACCAUAAAACAACUGACCUCUGCCCCACCUCCCAACAGAUGCGCCACCAGUUUUAGAAGAACAACACCAGCAAGAACGCUGGAGAGACUGUUUCUUAGGCCCUGCUUCCUGCCCCUUGGGAGACUUAUGCUUGCCUCUGAGUUGUUCAGUGACAAAAGAUAGUCAUCUGGAACGGGGAGGCGGGGCUGACAUUACUGAGCGUUAUCUGAGCUCCGUGCAACUUCAGCAGUGAUGCUUAAGAAAUCCCCCCACCCCUCUGUGCCUUGGAAAUGACAAGCCAGCUCACCACAAAGGACCACACUGCCCUCAGAGUUUCCAAGGGAAGUCUCAACUCCAUCCUUUCUCAUGACUCCUCUCCAGUGAGGACCUCCCUUUGAUGGCAGCCGGCACGUUGCCCCCGACUGCCCGGCUGGAAUAACAACCAACUGUGCCCUGAUACUCUGUUCAGCCCUCCUGAGGACAACCACCCUUUCGACAGCUCAGGACAUGAGUAAACAGAGAAGGACAGCAUGGCCCUAGUUGCCUCAGGUAGUGUUGGAGUUACGGAAGGAAGCUCUCACGUCCUAUGUUGAAUGGGACAGCAAGGAAUCAGUGUGAGAUACUUCUGAGAUGAGCUGGGGGUAAACACACCCAGGGAUGUCUUUAACAUCAGCUGGACAGGUGCCGGGCAGGGCGCAGGCUGAGGCAGAGCUGGACCGCAGCAGGUGCUGCUCACGGGGGAGCUGUCGGACUGACCAUUAUGAAGCAAAGGGUGAAUCUGAAAGUCAGAAAUGCCAGAGGCAGCCCUAAAAGCUGGGAGGAGGGGAGAUCCCAAAGAGGGAAAGUCCAGGGGAAAGACUGGCCAGGAAGUAAAAGGUGUACAGGCCUUUAGCCAACCCUGACCCCGUCUGAUUCCUCUUCCUGGAGGGGAGCGAGGGCAGGCAGGGAAGGCUCCACUGGGCAGAACAUGUACCCUCAGGGGUCUCUGUUGGCAGCAUGUGACAGGAUUCACCACCUCUGCAACUUCACAGGAAGUUGAAUCAGAAAGAGGCCUUCCAGAUUUCAGCAAGGGCAUGAUGCUGAGAAGGGCGAGGAGACCAGAUGAUGUCUCCAUUCUGGAAUUGUCUCUCUUGUAGCCUGAGAGAUCUAGACAUCCGUGGUGUUUCUUUUCUUUUUUUUUUUUUUUUUAAUGUAUCAGAUAUGAUUCUCCUUGGUGAAGCAAGCAUGUCUGGGACGAGGUCCUAGGGGACAAUGAUAGCCAGGAAGCUCGUGAGAAUCCUCAGGGCCCUUGGGUAUUCUCUGUGCUGUCCCCAGGCCUAGCACAGUGCCCGGGACUGAGGAGCCAUUUUAAGAAGCUUAAGAAUCUGUACUUACUGUACAAAAUUGUGUCCUGGGUCAUAAAAAACCUGACAAAGUUAGAAAGCUCAUUAGAGGCAGGAUGAGGGCAUGGGUCAUGCUGACUAUAUGACAUGCAGCCAGGAGUCAUAUUAAACAUGUUUAUUCACCAGAACUACACUAUUUCUACAAGUAUAUACUAAGCAGAAUGGAUUCUGGCUAAAAAUCAUCUCUGUGUAUAGCAAUGGUAGGACCUCUCUGGGCUCUGACUCACUUAUUAUUUGAAUAAAACCAGGGGACAGAGAGGUGGAUUGACACUCAUUGGGCUUUGAACUGUGCUUCCAGAACUGGGGUACAAACUCAGGCCACUAGGUAGUCAGUGGAUUAGGAUCUAACCUUGACCAAUAGGGCUGUGAUGGCUGGAAAUGGGCUCUGGUCCAGGAGAUCAUGUGCAUUGUCUUGGUGACAUCCUCCGUAACACCAGCAAUUCGAGAGGCCACAACCAUUACAGAGUCCAGUUUUUCAGGGGCCUCUGGCAUCCAAGGGGAAUAGGGAGCCUUUAGAGUCUUCUCGGCCCUUGCCUGGACCUGAGUAUAUUCUGCCAGAAACCUCACAUCUGGAUGUGUCUGGGUUUCUGUCCUGGCAGAAGUACAGGCCUGUGUGCUGGCUCUUCCCCAGGGAACAUGCUGAAGGGGUCAUAAUGGCAGAGCAAGCCUCCCCUGUCCUCUGUCCUCUGGAAGUCCCUACCCAAUGGUACAGGACCUUGUCCAGGGGCUGCUGAAUGCAACACUGGCCUGUUGCUGGUAUCUGGUCAUGCUGGAGGUUCUAGGAGUGCUAAGCUAUAAUUUAUUUAGAAUGGAGCACCUUCCUUGAGUUAGGCUGGCCUCUGCCAGCUCCUGUUAUUUGGGCUCAUAUGAUAAAGGUUUAGCUGAGAGGUUGCCUAGGCUAGCUGUUUGAAAACCCCAUCUUUGAAAGUUAAGUGCCCACUCUAAGUGACCAGGGCUGAGUUUUCCUGUCUCUGAGAGCUGUUUCCAGACGCUGUCGUUAGCCUUUGAGGCCCAGUAUGUCAGAUUCUGUUAAGUUCAUCUCUCCAAGCCUUAAAACCUCUUUUAAUGUUAUCUGUGUCCUGGGAGUUGGUUUCUCACAGAACUAGAUUCUUUGAAAAAUUGGCAACAGAGCAAAAGUUUUCUAACAACAUGGUGGCCCCGUAUAUAUGUUUGGGAGGCUUCCAAGCCAGGCGGACAUGGGUGGGCUGAGUUAGAAUAGGCUUGGAUGAGGGCAGAUAAGAUCGUGAUUUGGGGAGGAGUUUUUGCUAAUUUGGGGGUCCAAAGAAUAUUCCUUUUAUUCUGAGGAAGUCUGUUGACAGGAUGGUAAUGAAAAUGUGAGUUUUUUUUUUUUUUUUUUUUUUGCGGUACGCGGGCCUUUCACUGUUGUGGCCUCUCCCGUUGCGGAGCACAGACUCCGGACGCGCAGGCUCAGCGGCCAUGGCUCACAGGCCCAGACGCUCUGCGGCAUGUGGGAUCUUCCCGGACCGGGGCACGAACCCGUGUCCCCUGCAUGGGCAGGUGGACUCUCAACCACUGUGCCACCAGGGAAGCCCAAAAGUGAGUUUUUGAAUACCUAUGGCAACCAGAGAAGUAUUAUUCCUGAUGUAUAAGAGUUUUGCCCCUUGAGUGCAGAAACCUGGUCAAGUCAACCUUAAGUAUUUUGCAUAUACAUUUUGGGGGAGGGGACACUGGCCCACACGUAGUGUAAAGACAGGGUCCAGGAAAUAACUGUGGGUCAGAACAUCAGUCAAGUAGGGCUUUGCCCCUGACCAGGAGGCCUUGGAGGACUACACCUGUGAGUCCUCAGAACCCACCUGGUGUGGUUCAGGCCUCAGAGUAUCACCGAAGACCUGGACUGAUCCCUGCACGUCCAGAAGGCCUUCUCUGCUGGCCCACAGGCCCACAUCUGAACUGUUUGUCCUCAGAAUGUCCAGCUUAAUGGAUGGACUGGUUCCUCCAAACUGACUUCAUGAAUUGAAAAUGAUUGGAAGUGAGUCUCUUACUGUGACCACCUUGAUAGGGCCACCAUACAGGGUCUGGGCCUGGUGAGAAAAAAUAGAGGCAGGGGUUUGAGGACUAAAAGUACUUACAUGGGAUUUGUAUGAAUAUGCAACCUAGUUAUAUCCUAGUUUCCCUUCCAGACUGAUGUCUCCUGUCUUGGUGGACCCAGCCCCAUUCAGGGCUGUCCUGUUUUAGCUGGAGCUCCCAGUUUUUCUUCUUUACAAUGACAUCAGUCCUUGCUGGGUGUGGUCAAGGACUUGCUAACUCCCCGUUGUAAGUUUCUUCUAGGUUGUCCUGGACGGAAGACCUGAGCUUCAAAAGAUGAAUAUACUCUUCAAACUCUGCACCUUGUAUAAUCUGGUUGAAGGACACCUACCUAGGAGAGUGCUGGUUGCAGGAACUGGACGAGGCUCUAUGUUCAAGUAUCCAAGUGAGACUGAGACCAACGGUUUCCAGUUGGGUGGCACCAGGAGCAGUGGGGCGUCCAAUACAGGUUACAGACAGCAGCUGAGGAGCUUGUAGGUGUGCUCUCGGUGGCAGAGGGGAAGCCCAGUACAGGGACUCAUCUGUGCUAUCUGUCCAUAGUGGUGUGAACCAGAGUUUAGAAGGCCCUUUGACACCCUGUAAUUUGUCAUGAAAAAGAUCAUAGUUACCUAUGAAAGGUAGCCAGAUCCUUCCUGUCCUUGAUUUUAGGGUGAAGAGUUGGAUCUUGAUUUCUGUAAAUGACAUCUUUCUUGGGGGCUGGGAGGGGAUAGUUGGGAAAGAGCAUCUAUUAAGCUGAGGAAAGUGCAUGAUUCCCUUGGGUGGUUUGUCCAUUUGGCUGGUGGGAGUGUGUGUGUGUGUGUGUGUGUGUGUGUGUGUGUGUGUAUGGUGCAUACAGGUGAGUGAGUGUAUGUGAGAGUGAACAUGAAUGUGUAUAAAUGUGAGGGAGGUAUAGCAGGAGGUGGCCUGUAACACUUACACAGGAAGCUGACUGACCCACCCCAGGCAGUGCAUGCUGGGCUGGUCAGAAAGGCAAGAAGAUGUUCAGUUGUAUUAACCUGUUGUCUUUUACCCAUUUCUUUCCCUACCUCUCCAAAAUGGGUUGAGUUUGGCAGGUAGGACAAGCCUCAAUACAGGCAUACCCGACCUCAUACUGAAGGGUGACCAAUGACCUCUGCCAGAAGAAGGAUCCAGGGGUCAAAGCCUUCCAGGGACUAGAAUGGAGACACCAAGCCCUCACUCAAGCAUCAGCCUGGGCUGGAAUCUGGCCUUCCCAAGAUUCUGUGACGGUGGAAGAGAGCUCAGGGAAGUUGCCGGCUACUGUGGUUUAGUCCCACUGAUUCCAGAAAGGAUUGUUCAGACCUAGAAUGAAGAAGACUCUCUCCAGUCCAGGCAUGGUCUGAGUGACAACGCGCCAUGGCACAUGUCCAGAUUGGUGCAGCUAGAUGCAGCUGAUGGACUUGGCACCCGGCCUCCACUUGCCAUCAGGGCCUCCAAGAAGGAACUGCAAUAUCUCCAGCUAUUUUAGGAUCGAUACAGAAGAUGUUAUUUGUAUUGCCACAGCGUCUGAGGAACGGUACAUAAGGUCUGGCGGAGCUUAGCCUCUGGUUCUCUAAGGCUCAGGAAGAUUUGUUCUGCAUGUUCUUCUUUGCUCCUUGCUGAGUCAUUCGUGAGGCUCGAUCACUUCAUCUGAGCUCAUUUGCCUUUCCCAGGCUUGGAACUGGCAUCACUCACAUAUCAGUUGCCACUGUAAAGUUCCAAGGAGACGAUCGAUUAUUACUUCACUUUUCAUUUCUCCUCCUGUUAAUCCCUCUCUGUUUUCUACCCCUGCCCCCCCCACAGCCCCGCACCCGUCUUCUAGUCUGUAUUCCAGUCCUGCUUACACAUCAGAGCACUUCCCCCAACAAGCCUUGCAAGAGCACCUCCUAAGGCCCGUAAUGACGGUUGUGCAGAGUCUGAGGGUAGGAAUCAAACAAUUCACAAAGACUUUAAGACUGUUUUUUAAAAUCUUGAAGGGAUAGUAUUAAAAUCGCAAAUUAUUUGGAAACUACUCUGCACAGGUCCUGUGCCAGAGGCUUUACCUGUGUGAUUGCUGAUCCUAAAGCAAAAGGGAAAUGCUGCACUUCAUCAAAUCAAAUGCUACUCUGUGUAACAUUAAGGACAAAAAAACCCCAACAACACCUUGUCAACUGUGUUGUAACCUGACACUGAUUGCAAAUUGCAUCCUAAUUUCAGAGAUGUUAAAAUGUGAAGGAAAAAAAAAGUGCAUCUUAGACUUGAUGGUGAGGAGUUGUACAGAGAAAACUGAAGCUCAGAGAGGCUGGGUAAUGUGGCCAGAACCACAGAGCUAAUCAGAGGCAGAGCUGGCUUUAGAUUGUGCCAGAGUCCAUUGCCUCUCCAGACGUUUGAAGGCUUUUUCUCCUGACUGGUUUCCUUUUCCUUGCCUGCCUGUGUCUCAGGAACCAGUCCCUAAGCCAUCUGUCCUGGAUAAAAGAGCCUCUGCUUUCAGACAACUGACAGAGCUAAAGCAAGUGUCCUUUUGAGACUGCGUCCCCUCCUCACGGUGCCUAAUUAUAGAGACUGCCCAUUCUGCUGUCGCUAGGUUAUUUUUGGCAGGGGGAGGGUGGGAGGGGAAGGAGUGAUGGCCAUGCAGGCUUCCCCUUCUCCCCCAGCUACUGGCUUCUUUAUCUCUUACCCUGAGGCAGCAGCGGAGGGGCCAUGGCCCUUGCCAAGUGGAUUAAUAAAAGCUGAUUUAGGGGGCUAGAAGCUGCUGGGGAAAUCUACCCACCCCUCUCCUUAUCAGGUCUUCUCGCCCUACUCCAUCAAAAUGUGCUGCCCCUCUGAUCCCAAACUCAACGUCACCCCUUAGACUUCAAAGUUUUGUUUCCCUCCAAACUAAUGUCCUGUGUCUCCCGAGAUGAACUCCCACCUGCCGAGGCCACUUCCCACUUACUUGUUUAUUCAUUGGAUGAUUUAAUAAAUAUUUAGUGAGCACCCACUACAUAGUACUCUGAAAAUGAGUGAUAAGCCAGCAGCACACGCACAGUUCCUGCCCUCUUGGGGUUCACAGCCUAAUGCGGGAGACGGUUGUCAUCAAAGAAGCUUGUAAAUUACUGUAGAAUGACAAGUGUGAUAAAAGUUUCUCAGGAAGAGCUGCAGCUGAGCUAGCACUCCCCCGGUAUCCUGUGUGCUCCCCUGCUUUUCCCAACACCCCCGCUCUUGCAGUUUCAGUUGGGCCCAAGUGAUUAAUUCUGGCCAAGGACCAUGAGUGGACAUGAUGUGUAUCACCUCCAGGGAAGGACUAAGAGCUGGGGUGCAUCUCCUUCAACUCUCUUUGUUCUGUUUUGAUGACCGUGGGCACCAUGUAGAUGGUGGAGCUACAGGAUAAAGGGGUCUACCCAACCCACAUUGAACAUUACAUUUAGGGGAAAUAAGCCUCUAUUGUGCUUGUCCACUGAGACCUUGGUUUGACCCCGUAGCUAGUGGUGAUUGCCUUCACAGAAUCACAUGUUCCUGUGAGGGAAAACAGGGAGACAACUGACCAGGCAAAGGGCCGGGAAAGGCAUCCUUAGGAAAGUGACAUUUAGGUCAGGGUCCAAAGGAAGAGUGGGAAUUAACUUGGAGAACACUGUGUGUGUGUUGGGGGGAGCAUUCCAGACAAACUCACAGCCUGUGCAAAGGCCCUGCAUACAUUUCAGUCCUUAUCUUCCUGGGUCACUUUGUUGAUGUGACAUGGUGACCACACUCUCAUUUUUCAGACUUCUCACUUCCUUGGCUUCCAAGACAGCCUCUCGCCUGGCUCCUCCUAGUCAAUCAACCAAUUCUUCCAAGACUCUUUUUUUU